rnacentral:rRNA from 1 species
GCUUGUCUCAAAGAUUAAGCCAUGCAUGUCUAAGUAUAAACGACUUUAUACUGUGAAACUGCGAAUGGCUCAUUAUAUCAGUUAUAGUUUAUUUGAUGGUCCUUGCUACUUGGAUAACCGUAGUAAUUCUAGAGCUAAUACAUGCAUCAAACCCCGACUUCUGGAAGGGGUGUAUUUAUUAGAUGGAAACCAAUGCAGGGCAACCUGGAAUAUGGUGAUUCAUAAUAACUCGCGGAUCGGUUUACCGAUGCAUCAUUCAAGUUUCUGCCCUAUCAUGGUUGAGAUUGUAAGAUAGAGGCUUACAAUGCCUACAACGGGUAACGGGGAAUUAGGGUUCGAUUCCGGAGAGGGAGCCUGAGAAACGGCUACCACAUCCAAGGAAGGCAGCAGG